UGGUGCAGAAGGUCCAAGUUUACGAC
rnacentral:piRNA from 1 species